GAUGAACGCUGGCGGCGUGCCUAAUACAUGCGAGUCGAGCGAACAGACGAGGAGCUUGCUCCUCUGACGUUAGCGGCGGACGGGUGAGUAACACGUGGAUAACCUACCUAUAAGACUGGGAUAACUUCGGGAAACCGUAGCUAAUACCGGAUAAUAUAUUGAACCGCAUGGUUCAAUAGUGAAAGACGGUUUUGCUGUCACUUAUAGAUGGAUCCGCGCCGCAUUAGCUAGUUGGUAAGGUAACGGCUUACCAAGGCAACGAUGCGUAGCCGGCCUGAGAGGGGGGACGGCCCAAGUGGAACUGAGACACGGUCCAGACUGCUACGGGAGGCAGCAGUAGGGAAUCUGCCGCAAUGGGCGGAAGCUUGACGGAGCAAGGCCGCGUGAGGGAUGAAGGUCUUCGGGUCGUAAAACUCUGUUAUUAGGGAAGAAAAAAUGUGUAAGUAACUAGGCACGUCUUGACGGUACCUAAUCAGAAAGCCACGGCUAACUACGUG
rnacentral:rRNA from 1 species